rnacentral:rRNA from 1 species
AGUGAACGCUGGCGGUAGGCCUAACACAUGCAAGUCGAACGGCAGCACAGUAAGAGCUUGCUCUUACGGGUGGCGAGUGGCGGACGGGUGAGGAAUACAUCGGAAUCUACUUUUUCGUGGGGGAUAACGUAGGGAAACUUACUCUAAUACCGCAUACGACCUACGGGUGAAAGCAGUGGAUCUUCGGACCUUGCGCGAUUGAAUGAGCGGAUGUGGGAUUAGCUAGUUGGCGGGGUAAAGGCCCACCAAGGCGACGAUCCGUAGCUGGUGUGAGAGGAUGAUAAGCCACACUGGAACUGAGACAGGGUCCAGACGACUACGGGAGGGAGCAGUGGGGAAUAGUGGACAAUGGGCGCAAGUCUGAUCCAGCCAUACCGCGUGGGUGAAGAAGGCCUUCGGGUUGUAAAGCCCUUUUGUUGGGAAAGAAAAGCAGCAGGUUAAUACGACGCUGUUCUGACGGUAACCAAAGAAUAAGCACCGGCUAACUUCGUG